rnacentral:rRNA from 1 species
AGAGUUUGAUCCUGGCUCAGGAUGAACGCUGGCGGCGUGCCUAAUACAUGCAAGUCGAGCGAACGGACGAGAAGCUUGCUUCUCUGAUGUUAGCGGCGGACGGGGGAGUAACACGUGGAUAACCUACCUAUAAGACUGGGAUAACUUCGGGAAACCGGAGCUAAUACCGGAUAAUAUUUUGAACCGCAUGGUUCAAAAGUGAAAGACGGUCUUGCUGUCACUUAUAGAUGGAUCCGCGCUGCAUUAGCUAGUUGGUAAGGUAACGGCUUACCAAGGCAACGAUGCAUAGCCGACCUGAGAGGGUGAUCGGCCACACUGGAACUGAGACACGGUCCAGACUCCUACGGGAGGCAGCAGUAGGGAAUCUUCCGCAAUGGGCGAAAGCCUGACGGAGCAACGCCGCGUGAGUGAUGAAGGUCUUCGGAUCGUAAAACUCUGUUAUUAGGGAAGAACAUAUGUGUAAGUAACUGUGCACAUCUUGACGGUACCUAAUCAGAAAGCCACGGCUAACUACGUGCCAGCAGCCGCGGUAAUACGUAGGUGGCAAGCGUUAUCCGGAAUUAUUGGGCGUAAAGCGCGCGUAGGCGGUUUUUUAAGUCUGAUGUGAAAGCCCACGGCUCAACCGUGGAGGGUCAUUGGAAACUGGAAAACUUGAGUGCAGAAGAGGAAAGUGGAAUUCCAUGUGUAGCGGUGAAAUGCGCAGAGAUAUGGAGGAACACCAGUGGCGAAGGCGACUUUCUGGUCUGUAACUGACGCUGAUGUGCGAAAGCGUGGGGAUCAAACAGGAUUAGAUACCCUGGUAGUCCACGCCGUAAACGAUGAGUGCUAAGUGUUAGGGGGUUUCCGCCCCUUAGUGCUGCAGCUAACGCAUUAAGCACUCCGCCUGGGGAGUACGACCGCAAGGUUGAAACUCAAAGGAAUUGACGGGGACCCGCACAAGCGGUGGAGCAUGUGGUUUAAUUCGAAGCAACGCGAAGAACCUUACCAAAUCUUGACAUCCUUUGACAACUCUAGAGAUAGAGCUUUCCCCUUCGGGGGACAAAGUGACAGGUGGUGCAUGGUUGUCGUCAGCUCGUGUCGUGAGAUGUUGGGUUAAGUCCCGCAACGAGCGCAACCCUUGUCCCGUGUUGCCAGCAAGCCCUUCGGGGUGUUGGGGACUCACGGGAGACCGCCGGGGUCAACUCGGAGGAAGGUGGGGACGACGUCAAGUCAUCAUGCCCCUUAUGUCUUGGGCUGCACACGUGCUACAAUGGCCGGUACAAUGAGCUGCGAUACCGCAAGGUGGAGCGAAUCUCAAAAAGCCGGUCUCAGUUCGGAUUGGGGUCUGCAACUCGACCCCAUGAAGUCGGAGUCGCUAGUAAUCGCAGAUCAGCAUUGCUGCGGUGAAUACGUUCCCGGGCCUUGUACACACCGCCCGUCACGUCACGAAAGUCGGUAACACCCGAAGCCGGUGGCCCAACCCCUUGUGGGAGGGAGCUGUCGAAGGUGGGACUGGCGAUUGGGACGAAGUCGUAACAAGGUAGCCGUACCGGAAGGUGCGGCUG